AUAGAUAGAUAGAUAGAUAGAUAGAUUGAGAUAUUAUUCCUGUAAAGCUUAGGGACUGGCCUCUAGAUAAAUUCUGUAUUUGUGUUCAUUAUGUGUCCUAAGGAAUUAGCCUUUCUCCUGCAAGAAGAUCCUUAGCUAGAAAACUGUGAUAUUUUAAAAUUCCACAGAAGCUGCCUGGUGAGUCCUGAGAUGGUAUAGCCUGUGCUUUUUGAGAACCUGACCUUUUUUCUACCCCUUCCUUUAUCUUAUCAGCUGCUGCCCACGAGUCAUCUAGCAAACAGGCAAAGAGGGAAGGGGAUCAUGGCAAACUCCAAUGCAAAGGGGACAUGACAGCCCUGGUCAGUCAUGUUCAGUUUAAUUCUGUCAUUUCCAGUUUAAGUCCUAAAGCAGUAAGGACUAAUUCUUGGGAUUUCUCCUCCUGCUUCUCUUUCUUUCUUCCUUCCUUCCUAUCUCUGUGUGCGCCAGACGUUAAGAUCUUUCUGGGAAAAGCAGCCCUGUCUAUCAGGGGAUUCUUAAUGUGUUACUCCCCCCCCAAAAAAAAAAAACUUUUUUUUUUAAUGGUCACUCAGUAAAAUCAGGAAAUAGAUGUGAAAAGUAUGUUGUGUGCUCUGCAUAAACAACUAUCUAAUUCAUCCCCAACCAGACCAACUUCAGUUACUGCAAUGGGAUGAUUCGGGACACCCUCAUCAACGCUAUUGAUGACAUCCAACUUGCGGUGUGGUGAUCCAUGGUGGGGAGUCACAACAGGAGAGGCAGCUUUGAGCAGGUGGUGGUGGUGACACAAAUCCUGUAAGGCCCUUGAUUCUCAUCUACACUGUGUGUGGGGAGGGAGUAGGUGUGGGCCGGCUGGAAAUAAAAAACGAGACAAGCAGUAUUAAGAAAUAAACACAAAAGAUGUGAAGCGCAUAUUCAAAGCCAGGGCUUGACUGGUGGAAGAGACCUGAUGAGUCUGAUCCUAACAAAGAUAAAAGCCCUUGAAUUCUUUAUUUAUAGUGAAAGACAUCAAAGGGAUUCAGUGAGGAGCUUCUUCAGGAAAACAGAAUAAGAAUGGGGAAAACAAGAUGUUUGGGACUUGGCAGGUGACGCCCAUCUCUUAGCAGCUGCGUUUGAACCUAGGGCUGUGAGCUAAGGUAGGGCUUUGGCAUGAUCUGGGCUUUCUUGAACUGAGGCAUUUCACCCGGGAGUUCCCCCAAAAAGCAGCAGCUUCCCUGCUUUAUGGUGGCUCAAACAAACCUACAGUUCAUACAUGGCUUCCAACAUCUGACUACAGGACAGCCCCUCUAAUUCCCAUAAACAGGUCUUGUUCCUGCCAGAGCUCAGGAGAUCAACCCAGAAGCACAGCCUACAGGGGCUCCAACCACCCAGAGAACGGGAGGACAAACUGGGUUCAUGGAAGAGCUAUAUUGUCUCCAGUCUUAAAAUUUUCGUGAACAACCCUCGUCCCCAUCACCCAGAGAGGAAGACCUCUUCUCAAAAGCACUUGCAGCAAGAAACUGUCCUGAUCCCUUCUGUUGACUCCCGUUCUUCUCUAAACAACUUCUUUUCCUGAGGCAGGGGAAGAUACUUGGUCUAGCUCCUUAGGAUGGACAAGGAGAUACAGAUACGUGUGAGUGGAUAAA